CCCUUAGAUGUUCUGGGCCGCACGCGCGCUACACUGAACAGUUCAACAAGUCUUAACCUUGGCCGAUAGGUCUGGGUAAUCUUUGAACGCUGUUCGUGAUUGGGAUAGACCUUUGCAAUUAUGGGUCUUCAACGAGGAAUUCCUAGUAAACGCAAGUCAUCAGCUUGCAUUGAUUACGUCCCUGCCCUUUGUACACACCACCCGUCGCACCUACCGAUUGAAUGGUCCGGUGAAAUCUCGGGACGGCGGCUUGGUCGCUUGCGUCCGACUGCUGAAACUUGAUUAAACCAUAUCAUUUAGAGGAAGGUGAAGUCGUAACA
rnacentral:rRNA from 1 species